AGCGUGACCCGGCUCACGCCGCGGUAGAAACCAGUGUCCGUCCAGCCCAGGUCCAGAGGAGGCACCUCGGUGUCGGAACGGUCGGGCCAGUAGGCCAGGGACUCGCCGGACUCAGCCGGCGCCGGCGCGGGGGCCUUGGCCUUGGCCUUGCUCUUGCCCCGGGCGUUGGCGGCGGGGACGGCGUCCUCGUAGGGGCUCCAGGCGGCCCGCAGGGCCUGGCGCUCCGGGCUGGAGAGGAAGUCCCGCAGCUGCUCCUCCUUGAGCCGCUCGCGGUAGGCCUGCUCGCCGCCGCCCAGCAGCGCCUCCAGCGCGGCCCGCCGCCGCUCGCAGUAGUAGA
rnacentral:lncRNA from 1 species